CUUCUUGCUCGCUAUUUGCUGUUGCUGUAGGUGCCCGUAUGCUGCGGUUCUAAGUUCCGGUUCUUCACACCCUGUUUACAGACCUGACAAUCUGUGGCUGUCUUAAAGGUACACGGCUAAGUCUUUGAAGUCAACUAACUUGUCUGCAGACCCGCUGCAGACCCCAACACCUUGUCUCCAUUUAAAGGUACAGUAUUAUUUUUUUCACCAGGCAUGUUCUGUGGGGAGGGGGCUUUGUUAGUAGGGGGCUCUCUUUGCUCGAGGGUGGAUCUUUUAGUAUGCUGAUUAGGAUAGUUCACACACAGUUCCAGUAAUUUUCUGUUUAGUUUCAUUAACCAUUUGGUUCUCCUUGAGCUUGUUAUUUCUUAGUUUGAGGUAUUCAUGGUGUCUCUCCCAUCUCUCUAGGUUAUGUUUUGUUAACUGUAAGGAUUUUUCUAACAUCCUCUGUUUUUCAAAUUUUCAUUAUAGAUAUUUACAUAUUUUGUCUCAAUUUCAAGUUAAAUAACAGACUGGCCUUCUAUUAAUCACAUAUCUGUGAGCUGGUCAACUACAAUCUGGCAUCAUAGAUAAUUGACUGUAGCAAGACCGAUUCCAGAAACAUCUGGAUCAAUAGACAAGCAGCAAGAAUGCUGCAGAAAUAUAGUUGCUUUGCAAAGUUUUACUAUGAUUAGCAAUUGGUAGCAUGGGUGUUAGUGAUUAGUCAAAUCGUGUUAUACUUGAAUGCUUGAAGGGUACAAGAACCCUGUGUAAAAUGACAUUCAGGGUGCCCCAAUUUGGCUGGGACUCCUCAUGUGCAUGAAUAAAUAAUUACCCUUGUAAUUCUAUACUUUGCAUCUUAGUCUCUCUCCUUGGUCAGCACAGGCCAGUUGUGAAUUUUUGUAACACCACCUCUUCUCCAAGAUGAACAAUCUCAGUUCCCUCAGUUCUUCCCCACAGAGAAAGUACUCCAGCCACCUUACCAUAAUGGUGGCCCUCCACUGAACUCACUCCAGUUUAUCAAUGUUUAUCUUUUACUGGAGGACCCAACACUGGAUGCAGUAUUUUAGAUGUGGUAUAACAAGCACUGAGUAGAGAGGGAUAAUCCCUUCCCUCAGUCUGAUGUUUGUAUUCAGGUUAAUCCAGCCCAGGAUGCUGUUGGCCUUCUUUCUCCCAUCCCGUGUUCCCCAUCUCUAUGUUUCCACAUCUGUGUGUUUGUUCUCAAUUGUUUCCCUCUGUAUUGUCCCUCCUUGUUUUUUCCUCACUGUUGUCACCCCAUGUAUCCCCCCACAAUGAUCACUGUAAUAAGUAACUAAGGGUAAUUUGCUGAUCAAAUGGGCUUUUAACAAAAGGAAUGAUCUUGCUGCAACAAAUUUGAGAACAUUCUGUCUGUCGACAAAAGAGUUAACCAUGAGGUUUUGAGAUGUACUUUCUCAAGGCCAAUGUUAAACCAUAAUCUCAUGUUACUAUGACAACCUUUGUCUUUGUCCAGACCUUAGUGUAAAAAUAGAUUAGUUUUGUAAUAUACAGCUUCUUGCUAUGGGACUGAGAGCAUAACUGUUUGCUUAAAUCGGCCCUGAAGCUGAGGAUAAAAGGGCUGUGUUACUUGUUGGAAUUUGUGAGCCUGGAUGGAACUACGACUCCCUGGCCGCCCAGCGCGCUGUUUUUGCUUUCCUGCCUUAAUAAAUACUUAGUGAAUUUAUUUUGGACUCUAUUUGUUUAAAUUCAACUAUAACAGAUUUGGUGCCGUGACUCGGAUCCAGACAGCUGACUCUGAAUUCAACUCUGGGAGGGCGCCCCAUCUUUGGAUGGUCCCGGAGAAGAUUCCGACUUAGCUCACCUGGAUUUUCCGAACUGAGAUAGGAAAGCAAAAAGAAAGAGAAAGGAGAUACUGCAGUUCCCCAUAAUUUUUGUGCAUGAAGAGCCAGAUGAAGACUUGGGAGUGAAUACAGCUGUACGGACAGCGGAAAUAGGAUGGACUCACGCCAGCAGAAUUAAGGGACCUAUCUUCCCAGAGACGUGGACUGUGACGUCGGAACCAGGGGACCUCCGAAUGAAGAUAAGGAAAAACGAGGCCGGUAAAUGAACCACUCCAGAAGGGAAGUAAGAAAUAGUUUAUAUCAAUGGUUCCAAAUACCACCUGGAAUUACCCUACGAAAGGUAUAUUUUGCACCCUGGAGUGAAGAACAAAUACCUGACCAAAUGGGGGGGAGCUGGAUUAUACAAACUGACAGGAACUCCUCAGAUUUUUCCCUUUUGCUGUGAGACAGAGACAGAUAUACCCUAAUCACCCGGUAUAGGAGACAUCUGUGGAAUACCCUAUUUAAAACACCCUACUGCCGGACACUUAUGCUGGGUUGUUUGCCAAUGUUUAAAUUGUGAUAAAAAGUGGUCUUGUGUUUCAAUUAAGAGACAACCUUAUUGUAAGAAAUGUCACAAUAAUCUGACACCUACCAGGGAACAACGGGCUCAAGCAGAAAUUUGUAAAUUAUUUUGUGGAUGGGAACUGUCAGUACCUGAACUUUGGGAAGUAUAUGAAACAGACUGGUAUAGAGUUUUAGGACAGUGUACUAUAAGAUCCGCCUGGAAACGGGCACAACAACCAAACAGGUGGAAAUAUAUUUGAGAGAUAACUAAAUCUUUAAACCUUGAAAUUAUUGACAGGAUAACAGCAAAAUUCCCCUGAAGACUACCUGCUGCUGCCAAGAAGAUAUUGAUAUCCUGUUGCUCUCUGCAAAAGAGUAGACGAGGAAGGCAGAGAGGUACUAACAGUGGGGAAAUGAAGGCUGUUAUCCUGAUAAUAAUAUUAAUUACCACAAUUUUAGGAAAUGAACAUCAACCCUUCAAUUGGACCUUAGGUCGAUGGGAAGGUCCUGUUAUAUUGAAAACUAAUGUUAUGGCCGGUGCUCCAAGUUUCUUAGUAUAUCUCUGUGAUUCAGUGCCCACACAACCAUGUCUUAACCAGAGGGCUCAUUACUUUUGUCCAAACUCAAACCCAGGAAAAAGUUAUUGUAAUUUUCCAAAUAAUGUUGUUAUUGACUCUGACUUUUGGACCCUGUAUCAUCAAUAAAUUUGUAAUUUUUGUUAAAAGCAGGUUGGAAAAAGUGCAGCUAAUGGUAAUGAAACAAUCAGAAAUGGAAAUUAAAAUUAUACCAAAUGAAAGUCCUGAAUUAGUUGUGGCUUGUGAGGUAUUAUCUAGAUUUAAUCAGCAAAUCACUUAUAAAUAAAAGAAGGGGGGAAUUGUAAUAAGUAACUAAGGGUAAUUUGCUGAUCAAAUGGGCUUUUAACAAAAGGAAUGAUCUUGCUGCAACAGAUUUGAGAACAUUCUGUCUGUCGACAAAAGAGUUAACCAUGAGGUUUUGAGAUGUACUUUCUCAAGGCCAAUGUUAAACCAUAAUCUCAUGUUACUAUGACAACCUUUGUCUUUGUCCAGACCUUAGUGUAAAAAUAGAUUAGUUUUGUAAUAUACAGCUUCUUGCUAUGGGACUGAGAGCAUAACUGUUUGCUUAAACCAGCCUUGAAGCUGAGGAUAAAAGGGCUGUGUUACUUGUUGGAAUUUGUGAGCCUGGAUGGAACUACGACUCCCUGGCCGCCCAGCGCGCUGUUUUUGCUUUCCUGCCUUAAUAAAUACUUAGUGAAUUUAUUUUGGACUCUAGUUAUUUCAAUUCAACUAUAACAAUCACCACCCUUGU